GACGAACGCUGGCGGCGUGCUUAACACAUGCAAGUCGAACGGUGAAGCUCCAGCUUGCUGGAGUGGAUCAGUGGCGAACGGGUGAGUAACACGUGAGCAACCUGCCCCUGACUCUGGAAUAAGCGCUGGAAACGGCGUCUAAUACUGGAUACGAGAAGGGUCCGCAUGGGCACUUUCUGGAAAGUUUUUCGGUUGGGGAUGGGCUCGCGGCCUAUCAGCUUGUUGGUGAGGUAAUGGCUCACCAAGGCGACGACGGGUAGCCGGCCUGAGAGGGUGACCGGCCACACUGGGACUGAGACACGGCCCAGACUCCUACGGGAGGCAGCAGUGGGGAAUAUUGCACAAUGGGCGCAAGCCUGAUGCAGCGACGCCGCGUGAGGGAUGACGGCCUUCGGGUUGUAAACCUCUUUCAGUAGGGAAGAAGCGAAAGUGACGGUACCUGCAGAAGAAGCACCGGCUAACUACGUG
rnacentral:rRNA from 1 species